rnacentral:rRNA from 1 species
GAUGAACGCUGGCGGCGUGCCUAAUACAUGCAAGUCGAGCGAACAGACGAGGAGCUUGCUCCUCUGACGUUAGCGGCGGACGGGUGAGUAACACGUGGAUAACCUACCUAUAAGACUGGGAUAACUUCGGGAAACCGGAGCUAAUACCGGAUAAUAUAUUGAACCGGAUGGUUCAAUAGUGAAAGCCGGUUUUGCUGUCACUUAUAGAUGGAUCCGCGCCGCAUUAGCUAGUUGGUAAGGUAACGGCUUACCAAGGCAACGAUGCGUAGCUGACCUGAGAGGGUGAUCGGCCACACUGGAACUGAGACACGGUCCAGACUCCUACGGGAGGCAGCAGUAGGGAAUCUUCCGCAAUGGGCGAAAGCCUGACGGAGCAACGCCGCGUGAGUGAUGAAGGUCUUCGGAUCGUAAAACUCUGUUAUUAGGGAAGAACAAAUGUGUAAGUAACUAUGCACGUCUUGACGGUACCUAAACAGAAAGCCACGGCUAACUACGUG